rnacentral:rRNA from 1 species
ACGGGAGGCAGCAGUGGGGAAUAUUGCACAAUGGGGGAAACCCUGAUGCAGCGACGCCGCGUGAGUGAAGAAGUAUUUCGGUAUGUAAAGCUCUAUCAGCAAGGAAGAAAAUGACGGUACUUGACUAAGAAGCCCCGGCUAACUACGUGCCAGCAGCCGCGGUAAUACGUAGGGGGCAAGCGUUAUCCGGAUUUACUGGGUGUAAAGGGAGCGUAGACGGUGAGGCAAGUCUGAAGUGAAAUGCAUGGGCUCAACCCAUGAACUGCUUUGGAAACUGUCUGACUAGAGUGCAGGAGAGGUAAGUGGAAUUCCUAGUGUAGCGGUGAAAUGCGUAGAUAUUAGGAGGAACACCAGUGGCGAAGGCGGCUUACUGGGCUUUAACUGACGCUGAGGCUCGAAAGCGUGGGGAGCAAACAGGAUUAGAUACCCUGGUA